UGGGGAAUAUUGGACAAUGGGCGAAAGCCUGAUCCAGCCAUGCCGCGUGUGUGAAGAAGGUCUUCGGAUUGUAAAGCACUUUAAGCGAGGAGGAGGGUACUGGUAUUAAUACUACCAGCUACUGGACGUUACUCGCAGAAUAAGCACCGGCUAACUCUGUGCCAGCAGCCGCGGUAAUACAGAGGGUGCAAGCGUUAAUCGGAAUUACUGGGCGUAAAGCGCGCGUAGGUGGUUCGUUAAGUUGAAUGUGAAAGCCCCGGGCUCAACCUGGGAACUGCAUCCAAAACUGGCGAGCUUGAGUAGGGCAGAGGGUGGUGGAAUUUCCUGUGUAGCGGUGAAAUGCGUAGAUAUAGGAAGGAACACCAGUGGCGAAGGCGACCACCUGGGCUCAUACUGACACUGAGGUGCGAAAGCAUGGGGAGCAAACAGG
rnacentral:rRNA from 1 species